rnacentral:lncRNA from 1 species
UGGGUAUCCACUUGGAAUGUGGGGACAGAGAUUCUUCCAAACCCACCCUUUCUGUUUGCAGCUGUAAUGCUGGGUAGAAAGAGUGCAUUUAACAGUUAUUUGGUUUAUUUGAUUGAAGCUGGGUCCUUCCCAGCAGUGCCUUGUCCCAGCAGUGCCAUAUAAUGAAUCUCUGUAUCCAGUUGUUGCAUCAGGAAAGCAAGAGUGGAACAGUACUUCUA